GAGAGACGGUAAAACUGAAACCCGAGUGGAGAAAAAGGUUGUGAUUUCGCAGGAAGAAAACGGGGAUGAUAUUGACCACGACGCGCUGCUAGCGGAGGCCAUUAAGUCAGUAACGGAGAUGAACCCUGACCUGUCCGUGGAGAGGAUUGAGUGUAUGAGGCAGAUGGAGGAAGUGGACGGAAGGUACUAGGUUAGAUUUCGGUGUUCGUUAACCUCUGUACAGGUAUAGCCAGUUAUCAGUGCCUAUUACGUCUCCAGUCCUCUCCUGCCUGCCUUUGCGUCUCCUUUUUUUGCUUUUGAAGGACGAUAAAGACAGCGGACCCACUGGUCACUUUGACAGACUAUAGGAAAUAUUGCAAUAAAUUAACGUGUAUGUGGCAUAAAAAUCAUGUUUCAUGUGUCAUAUUUAAUUUGUUUCAUUUGACAUUAUAUCAAGAGACUUUCUGCCAGCAGAUAAUUUAAGGUCGUGUGUCUCUGACCUUUUUGUACUGAAGUCGGUUGCCAUGUGAUGGGAUCAGAUUGUCACACCUUACUUCUCCCGGGCUGAGAGAUUAUAAUGGCAGCUAUAGGGACUCAUUUCUUAUUUGAUGUUUAAUCUCAUUGGCAUUUUAAGUCAUCUUUUAAUGGAUGCAGAGAAAAUGUUUUUUGCAAAAUGCUACAUAGCUAGAUAAGGUUUGUUAAGAUUUUUUUUAUUUGCUGAAUGCUUUAUUUAUAUAAAUGAUAUGACUCUCUGACACUGUUUAUCUUAAAAAGAUUAUACUUUUAUGAAGACAGAUUAUGUGUCUGUGCAAGGUUGUCCAAUUUUAUUGCUUAUGUUGCUAUUUUUAAGUCCAGACUGUAGAGCUGCAGUCCGAUCAGAGACUUCUGCUUUUAAGUCCUAGACUAAAAUUUUAUGUAGAUCAUCUUUUUAUACAUGUAUAGAGAUAAAAUUCAUUUCAAUAAAAUCAACAUUUUUAA